rnacentral:rRNA from 1 species
UGUAUAAUGGGUCAGCGACUUAUAUUCUGUAGCAAGGUUAACCGAAUAGGGGAGCCGAAGGGAAACCGAGUCUUAACUGGGCGUUAAGUUGCAGGGUAUAGACCCGAAACCCGGUGAUCUAGCCAUGGGCAGGUUGAAGGUUGGGUAACACUAACUGGAGGACCGAACCGACUAAUGUUGAAAAAUUAGCGGAUGACUUGUGGCUGGGGGUGAAAGGCCAAUCAAACCGGGAGAUAGCUGGUUCUCCCCGAAAGCUAUUUAGGUAGCGCCUCGUGAAUUCAUCUCCGGGGGUAGAGCACUGUUUCGGCAAGGGGGUCAUCCCGACUUACCAACCCGAUGCAAACUGCGAAUACCGGAGAAUGUUAUCACGGGAGACACACGGCGGGUGCUAACGUCCGUCGUGAAGAGGGAAACAACCCAGACCGCCAGCUAAGGUCCCAAAGUCAUGGUUAAGUGGGAAACGAUGUGGGAAGGCCCAGACAGCCAGGAUGUUGGCUUAGAAGCAGCCAUCAUUUAAAGAAAGCGUAAUAGCUCACUGGUCGAGUCGGCCUGCGCGGAAGAUGUAACGGGGCUAAACCAUGCACCGAAGCUGCGGCAGCGACGCUUAUGCGUUGUUGGGUAGGGGAGCGUUCUGUAAGCCUGUGAAGGUGUGCUGUGAGGCAUGCUGGAGGUAUCAGAAGUGCGAAUGCUGACAUAAGUAACGAUAAAGCGGGUGAAAAGCCCGCUCGCCGGAAGACCAAGGGUUCCUGUCCAACGUUAAUCGGGGCAGGGUGAGUCGACCCCUAAGGCGAGGCCGAAAGGCGUAGUCGAUGGGAAACAGGUUAAUAUUCCUGUACUUGGUGUUACUGCGAAGGGGGGACGGAGAAGGCUAUGUUGGCCGGGCGACGGUUGUCCCGGUUUAAGCGUGUAGGCUGGUUUUCCAGGCAAAUCCGGAAAAUCAAGGCUGAGGCGUGAUGACGAGGCACUACGGUGCUGAAGCAACAAAUGCCCUGCUUCCAGGAAAAGCCUCUAAGCAUCAGGUAACAUCAAAUCGUACCCCAAACCGACACAGGUGGUCAGGUAGAGAAUACCAAGGCGCUUGAGAGAACUCGGGUGAAGGAACUAGGCAAAAUGGUGCCGUAACUUCGGGAGAAGGCACGCUGAUAUGUAGGUGAAGCGACUUGCUCGUGGAGCUGAAAUCAGUCGAAGAUACCAGCUGGCUGCAACUGUUUAUUAAAAACACAGCACUGUGCAAACACGAAAGUGGACGUAUACGGUGUGACGCCUGCCCGGUGCCGGAAGGUUAAUUGAUGGGGUUAGCCGCAAGGCGAAGCUCUUGAUCGAAGCCCCGGUAAACGGCGGCCGUAACUAUAACGGUCCUAAGGUAGCGAAAUUCCUUGUCGGGUAAGUUCCGACCUGCACGAAUGGCGUAAUGAUGGCCAGGCUGUCUCCACCCGAGACUCAGUGAAAUUGAACUCGCUGUGAAGAUGCAGUGUACCCGCGGCAAGACGGAAAGACCCCGUGAACCUUUACUAUAGCUUGACACUGAACAUUGAGCCUUGAUGUGUAGGAUAGGUGGGAGGCUUUGAAGUGUGGACGCCAGUCUGCAUGGAGCCGACCUUGAAAUACCACCCUUUAAUGUUUGAUGUUCUAACGUUGACCCGUAAUCCGGGUUGCGGACAGUGUCUGGUGGGUAGUUUGACUGGGGCGGUCUCCUCCUAAAGAGUAACGGAGGAGCACGAAGGUUGGCUAAUCCUGGUCGGACAUCAGGAGGUUAGUGCAAUGGCAUAAGCCAGCUUGACUGCGAGCGUGACGGCGCGAGCAGGUGCGAAAGCAGGUCAUAGUGAUCCGGUGGUUCUGAAUGGAAGGGCCAUCGCUCAACGGAUAAAAGGUACUCCGGGGAUAACAGGCUGAUACCGCCCAAGAGUUCAUAUCGACGGCGGUGUUUGGCACCUCGAUGUCGGCUCAUCACAUCCUGGGGCUGAAGUAGGUCCCAAGGGUAUGGCUGUUCGCCAUUUAAAGUGGUACGCGAGCUGGGUUUAGAACGUCGUGAGACAGUUCGGUCCCUA